UGCACCCUUGCUGCUCUGUUUUGCUUUGUG
rnacentral:piRNA from 1 species